rnacentral:tRNA from 1 species
GCGGGCAUGUGCGUGGCGCACCGCUGGCCUUCCAAGCCUUGCUGCAUGGGUUCGAUCCCCGUUGUCCGCUCCA